rnacentral:rRNA from 1 species
GACGAACGCUGGCGGCGUGCUUAACACAUGCAAGUCGAACGGUGAACCCGCUUCGGUGGGGGAUCAGUGGCGAACGGGUGAGUAACACGUGGGCAACCUGCCCCCGGCUCUGGGAUAACCCCAAGAGAUUGGGGCUAAUACCGGAUAUGCCCGCUGACCGCAUGGUCUGGUGGUGGAAGGAUUUAUCGGCUGGGGAUGGGCCCGCGGCCUAUCAGCUUGUUGGUGGGGUAGUGGCCUACCAAGGCGACGACGGGUAGCCGGCCUGAGAGGGUGAACGGACACGCUGGGACUGUGACACGGCCCAGACUCCGACGGGAGGCAGCAGGGGGGAAUAUUGCGCAAUGGGCGGAAGCCUGACGCAGGGACGCCGCGUGGGGGGUGACGGCCUUCGGGUUGUAAACCUCUGUCAGCAGGGACGAAGCCGCAAGGUGACGGUACCUGCAGAAGAAGCACCGGCCAACUACGUGCCAGCCGCCGCAGUAAUAC